UACCAGCUCUCCGAGUGGUAGGGAUGAUUAUUGGGCUUAAAGCGUCCGUAGCCGGCUUAGCAAGUUUCCUGUUAAAUUCAGCGACCUAAUCGUUGAGCCGCGGGAAAUACUACUAGGCUAGGAGGCGGGAGAGGUCGACGGUACUUCUGGGGUAGGGGUGAAAUCCUAUAAUCCCGGGAGGACCACCAGUGGCGAAGGCUGUCGACUAGAACGCGCUCGACGGUGAGGGACGAAAGCUGGGGGUAGCGAACCGGAUUAGAUACCCGGGUAGUCCCAGCUGUAAACGAUGCGGGCUAGGUGUUGGGAUGGCUACGGGCCAUUUCAGUGCCGCAGGGAAGCCAUUAAGCCCGCCGCCUGGGGAGUACGGCCGCAAGGCUGAACUUAAAGGAAUUGGCGGGGGAGCACCACAAGGCGUGAAGCUUGCGGUUC
rnacentral:rRNA from 1 species